GCCUGGCUGGCUCAGUUGGUAGAGCAUGUGACUCUUGAUCUCAGGGUCAUGAAUUCAAGCCCCAUGUUGGACG
rnacentral:tRNA from 1 species